CUCUUUCGCUGUUUGAGAGUCUCUCGGCUCAAGGGCCGGGAGGUAAGAGGUUUGGGACUGCCCCGGCGACUCCAGGGUGUCUGGUCCACGACCUAUCCUAGGCGCCAUGUUUGAGGUGGUAUCAACAUCCUACAGAAGAAGAAUUAAGAAUUCUUGCAGGGAAACAACAAAAAGGGAAAACCAAAAAAGAUAGCAUUGCAUUACUUUCCAGAAUACCAGUGGCUGGUGGAUUUCACAGUGGCUGCUACAGUUGUGUAUCUAGUAACUGAAGUCUACUACAAUUUUAUGAAGCCUACACAGGAAAUGAAUAUCAGCUUAGUCUGGUGCCUGCUUGUUUUGUCUUUUGCAAUCAAAGUUCUAUUUUCAUUAACUACACACUAUUUUAAAGUAGAAGAUGGUGGUGAAAGAUCUGUUUGUGUCACCUUUGGGUUUUUUUUCUUUGUCAAAGCAAUGGCAGUGUUGAUUGUAACAGAAAAUUAUCUGGAAUUUGGACUUGAAACAGGGUUUACAAAUUUUUCAGACAGUGCGAUGCAGUUUCUUGAAAAGCAAGGUUUAGAAUCUCAGUAAGUUUUUGAAAAAUUA
rnacentral:sRNA from 1 species